AUUGAACGCUGGCGGCUGGCCUAACACAUGCAAGUCGAGCGAGCGGCGGACGGGUGAGUAAUGUCUGGGAAACUGCCUGAUGGAGGGGGAUAACUACUGGAAACGGUAGCUAAUACCGCAUACCAUCAGAUGGGCCCAGAUGGGAUUGGCUAGUCGGUGGGGUAACGGCUCACCUAGGCGACGGUCCCUAGCUGGUCUGAGAGGAAGACCAGCGAUCCUGGAACGGAGACACGGUCCAGACUCCGACGGUAGGCAGCAGUGGGAAAGAUUGGACAAUGGGCGCAAGCCUGAUGCAGCCAUGCCGCGUGUGUGAAAAAGGCCUUCGGGUUGUAAAGCGCUUUCAGCGGGGAGGCGUUACCCACAGAAGAAGCACCGGCUAACUCCGUGCCAGCAGCCGCGGUAAUAC
rnacentral:rRNA from 1 species